CUAAAACUUAUGAGAAGAAAGAGUAGGUAGAGGAAUUUAGUUCAAGCGAGUUCGGGGCAGUGUGAGCCGAAUGCUGUAGCCUGUAUUGAAUGGGUCUUCGAGGUGCCCUGCGAAAUGAUAGUAGCAGGAGACGGUAGUCUACCGUUAAAAGGACAGGGUAUCGAGUAAAAUCCGUACCUGAAUGAGAUAGUUUGUAGAUAGGUGGUACAGCGAAAUUUUGCAUUUCGUCCUUUUGGAUGGAAUGCUUUUUUAUUUCUCAAAAUCUGUUUUACAAAUUAAUAAUGGGUGGCACCGCGGUCAUUUCGUCCCAGUU
rnacentral:ncRNA from 1 species